CGCGCCAUUCCUUUACACUUAUCUUAGUUUAUAACUUUAACACAAAGAUCCGUUAAUGAAGUUUUAGUCUGCCUACAAAAGACACUUAUAGAAGUUUUAACUUCGUCCGAGCAUGUCUCAACUACCAAUCAAGAAAACGUAGUCAUAUUUUUUUAAAGUGAUGAAAUAUAUUGAAAACAAAUUCUAAUAUCCUCAACGUGUUCAUCGGUUAAUAACUCACAGUAAAACAUCAAAAUU
rnacentral:lncRNA from 1 species